rnacentral:rRNA from 1 species
AGCCCUAAGUGGGUGGUAAACUCCAUCUAAGGCUAAAUAUGACCACGAGACCGAUAGCGAACAAGUACCGUGAGGGAAAGUUGAAAAGCACUUUGAAGAGAGAGUUCAAGAGUACGUGAAACCGUUUAGGGGUAAACCUGAGAAACCCGAAAGGUCGAAGGGAGAAAUUCAUUCGCGUUUCGAGACUGGCGCGGGGCGUUCGAGUGACGGAAGACGUUCGCGUUUUCCGCGCCUUUCGCUUCGCGAGCCGGAUUCGAACGCGUGCACUUUUCUCCUGGUAGGACGUCGCGAUCCGUUGGGUGUCGGUCUACGGCUCGCGGUGGAGCCCGUUCGUAUUUUUAUACGGGCGGACCCGCGUGUCCCGGCCGACUCGCUCGACGGUAUACGAAUGGUUUAAGGCCGCUGCUCUUUGGAGCGUUCGGCUCGUUGCAAGCGCGCCAGAUUCGGUCGGCGAUCGGACCUAGUGCCGAUUCUGACCACUGGUGACUGUUGGCCGCGAAGUUCUCGAACAGACCUAAACCGAUCUGCGACGCUAUAGCUUUGGGUACUUUCAG